rnacentral:rRNA from 1 species
UUGAACGCUGGCGGCAUGCUUUACACAUGCAAGUCGAACGGUAACAGGGAGCUUGCUCCGCUGACGAGUGGCGAACGGGUGAGUAAUGCAUCGGAACGUGCCUAUUUGUGGGGGAUAACGUAGCGAAAGUUACGCUAAUACCGCAUACGCCCUGAGGGGGAAAGUGGGGGAUCGCAAGACCUCACGUUAUUCGAGCGGCCGACGUCUGAUUAGCUAGUUGGUGGGGUAAAGGCUCACCAAGGCGACGAUCAGUAGCGGGUCUGAGAGGAUGAUCCGUCACACUGGAACUGAGACACGGUCCAGACUCCUACGGGAGGCAGCAGUGGGGAAUUUUGGACAAUGGGGGCAACCCUGAUCCAGCCAUUCCGCGUGAGUGAAGAAGGCCUUCGGGUUGUAAAGCUCUUUCAGCCGGAACGAAACGGUACGCUCUAACAUAGCGUGCUAAUGACGGUACCGGCAGAAGAAGCACCGGCUAACUACGU